rnacentral:tRNA from 1 species
ACUUAUUUUGUAUAUUUAGUAUAUUUAACUUCCAAUUAAAAGGAUUGAUUAUCAAAAUAAGUA